CCUUCCGUGUUUCGCUCAAAGGUGUAGGCAGUUUCCAAGGGGGUAGUCCCGAUACUCGCUAUUUCGCUUACGUCAGAGUACAGUAGUACUCGCUGUUUGGAUUACGUCGGAAAGUUUUGCACCAAAUACGGCUUACGUCAGAGCAAAAUGCUCCCACGAUUGGUAGAGUGUUGCGGCAAAAUACAAGAUUACACCGACAACAAAUAUGUAACGGAUAAUGACCGAGGCCUGGGAUUUCUUCUGAAUACAACCCAGAGAUGAGGGCUUUGGCUCAGCUAAGGAGGACAUGAAGUGAACAGAGUAUGAUUUGAUGGUUCUGAGUAAAAAACAGAUAACAUAUUUUUGAGACCGAAGCAGCAGCCGGUGUUAGCUCCAGUGACACCAACUUUUUGUUUUUUAGCAUUUAAACCACAUGCUGGUGACAUUGGAAACAAUGAAAAAAAAUGACUAAUUAUUGUAAUUAAAAUACAA